rnacentral:misc_RNA from 1 species
GUUUAUGCCUUUCAAGAUCAAUCGGAGAUAUGGAUGUAGGAGAAUUCAUUGUUCCAAUACCAUAUGUCAAACAAGUGAAAGUAAUACCUUGCUUUGCUUUGCUUUUCUUACUCUCUUUUAGACCAUCUUAAGAUUUACCUUCCUACCAAAUCCCGAUGUACUAUUUUCUGUUCUAUAUCUGAUGUCUCAGGUAGAGACGAGUAAAU